AAUGGCAAACCGCUCUUGUAUCUCUGCCAAGAAAACCCCAAAUGGGGUCACGGAGAGUCAGACAACAAUGAGAGGAGUCCUAAAAUAACAAUAACUCAUGAAAUGAACCCUAGAAUAGAGGACUUCUGAUCCGUGCUGUAGUGGAAAGGAUUUUGGUCUUUUGAAUGCACCCAGUGGGUCCACAAGUAAAAUGUAAAAGCAAUGUGUGGAGAUAUAAACGUGCAACAUUACUUUUCACAUCAUUUAUUUCAGUGCGGUGGUGCAGCUCUGAAUUAAAACUCAGGGACCGAAUUAAUAGCCAAAAGGGAUUGGUGAAAAAUGCAGUGCCUUAUUUGGUUCCAUAAAAGAAAAAAAAACGGCAAAAAAGUAAUUCUACUCAGUGCCUUGCUCUGCUCUGUGGUGAAACUUUGAAUUACAAACUCAGGUACUAAAUGAAUUCAGCCAAAGAGUGAAAGGGGGGAAUGCUGCCUUCUAAGGCUCUAAAAUAUGGACUAAUCAGGCAAAACAAGUUAUGCCAAGCUGUGCCUUGUCUGCUCUGUGGUGAAUCUUUACAUUAAAACUCAGGUACUAAUCCAAUAUAACUAACCGGGAAAGGGGGGAAUGCUGCCUUCUAUGGCUCUAAAAUACGGACUAAUCAGGCAAAACAAGUAAUCCCAAGCCGUGCCUUGUCUGCUCUGGUGAUCCUUUGAAUUACAACUCACUCAGGUACAAAUCCGAAAUAUCCAAAGAGGGAAUGGAGGGAAUUCAGUGCCUUCUCAGGCUCCAUAAAGCGGAAAAAAACCGGGUAAAAUAAUUCCAUGCAGUGCCUUGCUUUGCUCUGUGGUGAAUCUGAAUUAAAACUCAGGUACUAAAUGAAUUCAGCCAAAGAGUGAAAGGGGGGAAUGCUGCCUUCUAAGGCUCUAAAAUAUGGACUAAUCAGGCAAAACAAGUUAUCCCAAGCCGUGCCUUGUCUGCUCUGGUGAUCCUUUGAAUUACAACUCACUCAGGUAUUAAACCAAUACAGCCAACAGCAAAAGAAAAAAAAUGCAGUGCCUUCUCCGGCUCCAUAAAAAGGAAACAAAACGGGUAUUAUUUCCAUGCAGUGCCUUGAUUUGCUCUGGUGAUCCUUUGAAUUACAACUCAGGUAUUAAACCAAUACAGCCAAAGAGGAAAAGGGUGCAGUGCCUUCUCUGGCUCCAUAAAUUAGGAAACAAAACGGGUAUUAUUUCCAUGCAGUGCCUUGACUUGCUCUGUGGUGAACCUUUGAAUUAAAACUCAGGUACUACUAAUCCAAUAAGAGGAAAGAGGGAAUGCUGCCUUUUAUGGCUCUAAAAUAAGGAAAAAUCAGGCAAAACAAGUAAUGCCAAGUAGUGCCUUGUUCUGCUCUGUGGUGAUCCUUUGAAUUAAAACUCAGGUACUAAAUCAAUUCAGCCAAAGACGGAAAGGGGGAAAUGCAGUGCCUUCUCAGGCUCCAUAAAAAGGAAACAAAACGGGUAUUAAAAUUAUUUCCAUGCAGCGCCUUGAUUUGCGCAGUGGUGCAGCUCUGUAUUAAAAAAAACUCAGGGAACUGGGCCCAACAUAGCCAAAGGGGAUUGGUGAAAAUGGAGUGCCUUAUUUGGUUCCAUAAAGAAAAAAAAACGGGCAAAAAAGUAAUUGCAAGAAGUGCCUUGAUCAGGUCGUGAAUCACACAAAGAGGAAACGUGAACAUACUGUGCCUAGUCUGGCUUCCCCCCCUAAAAAAAAAAAGAAAAGAAAAAACCCGACCAAAAAGUAAGCCCAAGCAGUGCCUUGAAGGGGUACAAGCUGCAACCUAUGUUCAUGAUGCUGCUCUGAAUUAAAAUUCCCGUACUGAAUCACAAAAGCAAAAUGGAAAGGUGAACAGACAGUGCCUAAUCUGACUCCAAAAGAAAAGAGAGAAAAAAAAAACCUGCCCAAAAAGUAAUUGCAUGCAGUAUCUUGAAGGCCAAAAGUUGCUGUGACUAUUACUGUUAUUGUUAAUGAAAGGGCUGUAUUUAUUGGAAAAAGAUAAGGUAAGUACAUGAUAUCGAAAAGGGAAACAAUUUAUGAUUUUAACGAAUUCUGUUGCGGAGACACAUACAUAAUAGAGUCAAAUUGGAUAAGACCCUCGAAUGGGUGAUGAGGGAGAGUCUUUAAAACUAGAUCAUGGGGUUUCUAGAACCCACUCUUCUGCUUUAAGAACAUAUAUGGGAGAUUAGAGAAAGCUGAGAAAAUGGAGUUUCACAGGCUCUGAAUGGCAAAACAUGGAAGACAAAGUAUCAGACCUUGAAAAACAGGUGGGACAUUGAAUGUCCUAAAAUGAACGAACUCGGAAGCCAAUUCGAAUCGAGAGUCCCUGAGGCAAAUUGGGCCCCGGAAGCUAGAAUAUCAAACCUGGGAGGAACUUUAGAGCACAGAAAAUGAGAGUUGAUCAGAGCCAGAGCAAUCUGAGAUGUAAGACCUGGAAAAGGUCACAGAGAAAGAGAAUGUCAGCGUUGGCCACCAUUUAAGAACAAGGGAUACCAAUAGAACGGGACAACUUGAGAACUAGUUUGGGCCAUGAAGCAUCAGAGUUGGGAGGGCAAAGAGGGUUUCAGCCUAUGUGCUCAGACUUCCAAACUGUGAGGAAGAUGAGGGAAAUUUAAAAAACAAGGACAGCACCUUUAUUGUAGGAGAUGCACGUUUGUUUCGAUGGAAUUUCUAAGCGAACAAUGGCAGUGCUUUGAAUGAAAACUGGUCUAAACACAACCAGAUGCUAUCGCCUUAGAUGACUUGAAACAAAGCAAAACCAAAAAACCUGCCAAACUAAUUCCAUGCCCAAAAGAUAUUCUAGUAAGACUACCAUGAAUAUUCCUAUAAUUUGGUAGUGAACGAUGACUGUUUAUUGAAACAGUCUCUUUCUAAUAAAACCCCCUUUGAAAAAUGGGAUGCCAUUCGUGAUCUCAUAUCACUGUAUUGUCAAGGCAUAUAUAAUUUGCUAGAACAAAACAGUAAGAUAAAAAGAAUCCUUGAAUGUAGCAGGAAUGAGAGGGUUUUCAACAUAAAAUGACAGCUAGGAGAGCCUUUAGAUAGAACGUACAAUGUCUGAUGUGGAGGGGCAUUUCAAGAGAACACAUAAAAUUUCAAACCUGGGAGGGCAGGUAAGACCUAGAAUGUCUAUGUUUGGAGGAAAUUUAAAAUCAAGAGUGCCCAAGAUGAAUGGUGCCGUGAAAGGUGGAAGAGUGAAAAUGAGAGAGACCUUAGAACAUAGAACCUGUAAGAUGUUCCGAGCUGGAAAAGAGAAUUUGUCUGAUUCCGCAGGAUAUGAGCAUAUGGAAUGUCAGAGAACACCAAGGAAGGGGGUAAAGAGUUAGAGUUGUUGUGAGGAUCAAAGGAAACAAUAUUUGGAAAGCAUUUUAGCACGGUGCCUAGGGCUAGACUGCCUAGGUGCUAUAUAUAUGUUAGUUAUUACCUCCUAGGAAAGCCUGUAGAACAUACAAACAGACAAACCGUCCUUUUAAAUUGAGUGUCAGAGCUGAGAGGGUCCUGAGAACACAUGAUAUCAUUUCUAGGAAGGGGACUCCUUAGUGUGUCAUGGGGAUGGAUGGGAAAAAAAUUUAAAAAUAAUUAUAUUUAUGUUAUGUGGAACAAUAUCUAUUUCAAUAUAAUUUAUUUUUUUUCAAUAUAAUUUAACAUCAGUACAAUGGUGAUGACCUACUCCCUUCCUGGAACUCACAGAGAGUAAAGGUGACCAGCCAAUGUCUAAUCAUGCUCCAGUUUAAAAAAGGAAAAAAUAAUUGAAAGCCCAGGAAUUGCAGGCAGUAUUUUGAAGGCUUAAAGGCUGCAGUGGAUAGCAUUAUUGUUGUUAAUGAAUGGUCAGCAUUCACCAAGAAAAUGAAGUACAGGCUCUGAAUGACAAGACUAGGAGUUGUUGGGGAAGCCGGACUCUAAGAACUCAGAGGAUAUGUUGAACGUAGAAUGCCAUUCAAUGAAUUAAGUUGGAGGAAAUUUAGAAUCUAGAAGGCCUGGGCUAGAAGGGACCCUGGUAUGUCAAAGGUGGAAGAACUUUAGGUCAUGGAAAGUGAUAAGAUUUUCAGAAGCUGAGAACAGAAAUUGUCUGAUUCCGUGGGAUGUGAGCACAUAGAAUGUUUGGCCUGGGAGAAGCCAGAGAGCACAGAAUGUCAGAGCAGGCAAGAAGACAUUUAGAAAAAGGGAUACCAGAGUCAGGAAAGCUCUUAGAAUCUAAGACGUAGAUCAUACAAUGUCAGGAAUAAGAGUAGCUGGAAAACGUCAGCAUGUCAGAGCUAAGGAAACUCUUAGAACAGAGACAGAGCUCAGAUGGUCCCUAGAACACACAGAGCCAUUGCUCGGUUCCCGUGUAUGAGGAGAGACAGGUAAAACUGAAGAAUAAGAAGAAAGGAUAUUUAAGGUUUGACAUACGGCAUGUUUCACUAUAACAUCAGCACAAUACUGGUGCUCUGAUUUCAAAAUCAGAAUCGAAACACUGCCACUAAGGAAAGGCAGACAUAUAUUACCCUAGCAGGCUGACAAUCCAGAAACAUAAAAAUACUUUGAGGGAGGGGGGAAAUCCAAAUUCUGCGCACUUCCUUAAUCAGGUAAAGGUGGAAUUGGCAUCUCCUUUUUGGUAACUAAUAGGGGAUGUUUAACUGAAACCAGUAAGGUGUUAAGUGCCCUGUUUUAAUAGGGACACUAUUUGUGAUUUUAAAUAAUUGUAUUGCUCAGAGAAAUAUGUAACACAAUAUACAAAACUAAAUAGAGAGUGAAAAGAGGGGGAAAAAACCUUUAAAUAUCACCAGCAUGAGAGGACUUUGAAUAUAAAAAUAAGAAAGUUGGGAGAAGCUUUGGAGAUGUGUUGGAUGAUAGAUAGCAAUUAGAAUUGAGAAUUUCCACACUGGGAUGACGGAUCCAGGCUCAGAAGCCAGAACAGCACACCUGAGAAGGCCUGUAGACAUAGAAUGCUGAGCUUAGAGGCAAUUUAAUACCAAGAAUACCUGAACUGGAUGGCGCCUUCCUACCCCUAGUAUCAAACAAGUGAGGGACCUCAAAACCUAUAACGUGGGAGAUAAUUGUCUUAAUUCAGUAUGUUCUGAACACAUAGUGAGUCCCAGGAGAAGCCAUAGAGAAGGGAAGGCCAGAGUUGGGAAGGUAAUUAGAAAGACAGAUCAUCAGAGCUCAGAAAGCCUUGAGGCUAUACGAUUUCAGGCCUGCAUUUGACCAAAAAAAAACUGCACAGUGUCAGAGCAGCUCUUAGCAGAGCUCUGUCGAUCCAGAAAACACACCGUAUCAUUUUUGGGAAGGAAUCGUGUCUAAGUUGUAGGGAGAGAAAGGCAAAUUUUCAAAAAGAUUCAAAAGUAUGUUUAUUGAAUAAAAUCUGACACGAUACCUAUCGAUAAGCACGAAGUGGUGAUCCUUGAAUCAGACAGCCAAAGUACAAAUCUGAAAAGCAAGGGCUUAAACUGGAUUCGAAGAAAAACAAUGGAAUGAAAAACAAAAUAACUGACCCCAAAGUAAAAAUAUGCAGGAUUUUAAAGGGGGGAAGACUGUCGUAGAUAUUACAAUUAUCGUUCACAAAUGGGCCAAAUUUAUUUUUUUUAAAAGGUAAGUAUAUAGGAUUCCCAAGGGAAAUAUUUUGUGAUGUUAAAUAAUUGUAUUGCUAAUACUCAUUUAAUAUACUAAAUAUACAAUUAUCAUUUAAUAUACUAAAGCUAAGUAAAUGAAAAGAAAAAAAACUAGAAUAUCAGAGGACAAAAAGGCUUUUGAGCAUAAAAUACUUAGGAUGGAAGGGACUUUAGAAACUAUAACGUCUGCCUUGGAAGGGUCUUUUAAGAGAAUAUAUUGGUUGAUGAAUAGAGCUAAAAAAUGGAGAAUUUCAGGGCUGGGAUGGCAGUCCAGGCUCUGAGUACCAGAAUCAGGCAUAGAAGCCCGAAUCUGAGACUUGCGAAGGUGGAACCUUCUGUGGAGACAAUUUAGAAACAAGGAGCCUCUGUUAGAUGGGGCCUUCCGGCCUAGCAUAGCAAACUCAGGGGUGACGUCAGAAUUCAAAGUGAGACCUGGUCAGAGCCACAGAACUGAGACUGUCUGAAAGAGGUCCGAAAGAAGAGAAUGUCAGAGCUAGCUAGGCAGGUAGAAGAAGACCUGAAAGCCUUAAAGCAUGAAACUUCAGGACUAGCUUUGGCCAUAAAAUCAUACCGUGUCAGAGCUAGGAGGGCUCUUAGAACAUAGGUGAGAAAAUCUCAGAUGGUCUUGAGGAUACACGAUGCCAUUGUUAGGAACGAGUUUUGUUUCUACACUCAGAGGUUAACUUCUGGGGAAGGAGAGGCAAAUGUAAAUGAUGGGAGACAAGGUUUAUUUACAGUAUGAACCAAGAUUUAUGUCAGCACAAAGCUGAUCUGAAUUAAAACAGACUGCAGAAAAUCAGAGGGGAAG